rfam:Gossypium hirsutum cultivar TM-1 unplaced genomic scaffold scaffold1157.1, whole genome shotgun sequence
AUUAUAUGAUGUGGGCACUUUCUUAGAAAUGAUUUAAAAUGUUCCCAUGCUUCAUAUAAAUUUUCACCUUCAAAUUGCUUGAAGUUGGCAAUGUUGUGCCUCAAUU